rnacentral:rRNA from 1 species
GAUGAACGCUGGCGGCGUGCCUAAUACAUGCAAGUAGAACGCUGAAGCUUGGUGCUUGCACCGAGCGGAUGAGUUGCGAACGGGUGAGUAACGCGUAGGUAACCUGCCUGGUAGCGGGGGAUAACUAUUGGAAACGAUAGCUAAUACCGCAUAACAGUCGACAUUGCAUGAUGUUGAUUUGAAAGGGGCAAUUGCUCCACUACCAGAUGGACCUGCGUUGUAUUAGCUAGUUGGUGAGGUAACGGCUCACCAAGGCGACGAUACAUAGCCGACCUGAGAGGGUGAUCGGCCACACUGGGACUGAGACACGGCCCAGACUCCUACGGGAGGCAGCAGUAGGGAAUCUUCGGCAAUGGACGGAAGUCUGACCGAGCAACGCCGCGUGAGUGAAGAAGGUUUUCGGAUCGUAAAGCUCUGUUGUAAGAGAAGAACGAGUGUGAGAGUGGAAAGUUCACACUGUGACGGUAACUUACCAGAAAGGGACGGCU